UUAUAUACCUAUGUUUAUACAAGAUUUUUAAUUCAUAAUAUAUUAUUAUUAUAUUUUAUUUUUCCAGCAACUACUGAAAAUUCAUUUUCCGAAAACAGCCACUAAUAGUUAACAUAAUCGUUCUCCUCACAAAAGUAUCUCUUAUAAGUCGUAUGAAUCAAAUGUAAAAAAAACAAGCCCUGUAAAAACUUCAACUAUAAAGGCAAAAAAAUAUUUAUCAGAUGAACAAUUCAAAGAAUUCAUGCAACAUAAUGUAAUACUUCUAAAACAUAAUAUGAGAAACCUGGACGAAAAACUGACUUUGUUACUCGAACAGACUAAAAAAAAUGAUUCCUACAUCAACAAUAGUAACGAUAAGGAAACUAUUGAUUAUUCACAUCUUGACUGCUUCUGCGAUGAAACUACACUAAAUGCUAUUGAAGAACAAUUAUCUGUGGACAAAAUAUUAUACAAUACUGAAAUG